AUUGAACGCUAGCGGGAUGCCUUACACAUGCAAGUCGAACGGAGUGGCGAACGGGUGAGUAAUGUAUCGGAACGUGCCCAGUAGAGGGGGAUAACUACGCGAAAGCGUAGCUAAUCCCGCAUACUAUUGGAGCGGCCGAUAUCGGAUUAGCUAGUUGGUGGGGUAACGGCUACCCAAGGCGACGAUCCGUAGCUGGUUUGAGAGGACGACCAGCCACACUGGGACUGGGACACGGCCCAGAUUCCUACGGGAGGCAGCAGGGGGGAAUUUUGGACAAUGGGGGAAAGCCUGAUGCAGCCAUCCCGCGUGUGCGAUGAAGGCCUUCGGGUUGUAAAGCACUUUUAGCAGGAAAGCGGUACCUGCAGAAUAAGCACCGGCUAACUACGUGCCAGCAGCCGCGGUAAUUC
rnacentral:rRNA from 1 species